CUGAUCACCAAACAGACCACCAUGCACACAGUUCUUAGAUAAAUUCUGCGCUGGAGAUUGUUGAAGAUUGAAGAGGCGCUGUCAGUGUCCUUUUGUGUAUGAACUGGGAAGAAAUGGAUCACUAAUUAUUUAUGUCAUAAAUCAAAAACAAGGCCAGGGAGUUACGGAGUCAAGUAA